rnacentral:rRNA from 1 species
UUAAAUAGCCGCUUUUGUGCUAAGGUAGCAUAAUAAUUUGUCUUUUAAUUAAAGACUAGAACAAAAGACUUAACAUCUUAAAUAAUCUUUAUAAUAAAAUUAUUUAAAUUAUCUUAAUUGUAAAAAGACAAUUAUUCAAUAGAAAGACGAUAAGACCCUAUCGAACUUUACUUUAGUUUAACUGGGGUAGUUAAUUAAUUAUUAUUUUAAUAAAANNUUAAAUUUUAAAUUUGACCUAAUAUAAUUAACCAAAUAAUUAAGUUACCGUAGGGAUAACAGCACAAUAAAAUUUAUUAGAUCUUAUUUAAAANUAAAGAUUGUGACCUCGAUGUUGAUUUAAUAUCCUAUUUCACGCAAUAGUAAAACUAAGGAAGUCUGUUCGACUUUUAAAAAAUUACGUGAUCUGA